rnacentral:rRNA from 1 species
AGUGAACGCUGGCGGUAGGCCUAACACAUGCAAGUCGAACGGCAGCACAGUAAGAGCUUGCUCUUACGGGUGGCGAGUGGCGGACGGGUGAGGAAUACAUCGGAAUCUACUUUUUCGUGGGGGAUAGCGUAGGGAAACUUACGCUAAUACCGCAUACGACCUACGGGUGAAAGCAGGGGAUCUUCGGACCUUGCGCGAUUGAAUGAGCCGAUGUCGGAUUAGCUAGUUGGCGGGGUAAAGGCCCACCAAGGCGACGAUCCGUAGCUGGUCUGAGAGGAUGGUCAGCCACACUGGAACUGAGACACGGUCCAGACUCCUACGGGAGGCAGCAGUGGGGAAUAUUGGACAAUGGGCGCAAGCCUGAUCCAGCCAUACCGUGUGGGUGAAGAAGGCCUUCGGGUUGUAAAGCCCUUUUGUUGGGAAAGAAAAGCAGCAGGUUAAUACCCCGCUGUUCUGACGGUACCCAAAGAAUAAGCACCGGCUAACUUCGUG